rnacentral:tRNA from 1 species
UGGGGCGUAGCCAAGCGGUUAAGGCAGCGGGUUUUGAUCCCGCGAUCCCUGGUUCGAAUCCAGGCGCCCCAGCCA